AGUCGAACGAGAAGCCGGAUUUAUUCGGUGGAAAGUGGCGGACGAGCGAGUAACACGUAAGUAGCUGCCCUGUACUCAGGGAUAACUCAUCGAAAGGUGGGCUAAUACCGGAUGGUCCCGAAAGGGUAAAGAUUUAUCGGUACAGGAGGCGCUUGCGGCCUAUCAGUUUGUUGGUGAGGUAAAAGCUCACCAAGACGAUGACGGGUAUCGGGUGUGAGAGCAUGACCCGACGCGAGGGGACUGAGACACGGCCCCUACUCCUACGGGAGGCAGCAGUAAAGAAUCUUCCGCAAUGGGCGAAAGCCUGACGGAGCGACACCGCGUGGUGGAUGACGGCCUUCGGGUUGUAAACACCUUUUCUGAGGGAAGAAAAUCUGACGGUACCUCAGGAAUAAGCCCCGGCUAAUUACGUGCCAGCAGCCGCGGUAAUACGUAAGGGGCAAGCGUUAUCCGGAAUUAUUGGGCGUAAAGCGUCCGCAGGCGGUUGUGUAAGUCUGUUAUUAAAUCCUGGUGCUCAACAUCAGGGCUGUAAUGGAAACUAUGCAACUAGAGUUUGAGAGAGGUAUGCGGAAUAGUGCAAGUAGGGGUAAAAUCCGUAGAUAUGCACUGGAACACCAAAAGCGAAGGCAGCAUACUGGCUCAAUACUGACGCUCAGGGACGAAAGCGUGGGGAGCAAAAGGGAUUAGAUACCCCUGUAGUCCACGCCGUAAACGAUGCUAGCUCGGUGUAGGUUCCCUCGACCUGGAAUCUGUGCCUAAGGUAACCCGUUAAGCUAGCCGCCUGUGUAGUACGAUCGCAAGAUUAAAACACAAAGGAAUAGACGGGGGUCCACACAAGCGGUGGAACAUGGGGUUUAAUUCGUCAAUAAGCGAGUAACCUUACCAAGACUUGACAUCCUAUUCGUACCUUUU
rnacentral:rRNA from 1 species